UACGAAGGGGGCUAGCGUUGUUCGGAUUUACUGGGCGUAGAGCGCACGUAGGCGGAUUGUUAAGUCGGGGGGGAAAUCCUGGAGCUCAACUCCAGAAUUGCCUUCGAUACUGGCUUUCUAGAGGCUGGAAGAGGUUAGUGGAAUUCCCAGUGUAGAGGUGAAAUUCGUAGAUAUUGGGAAGAACACCAGUGGCGAAGGCGGCUAACUGGUCCAGAUCUGACGCUGAGGUGCGAAAGCGUGGGGAGCAAACAGG
rnacentral:rRNA from 1 species